CACGUAGGGGGCAAGCGUUGUCCGGAUUUAUUGGGCGUAAAGAGCUCGUAGGCGGCUCAGUAAGUCGGGUGUGAAACCUCCAGGCUCAACCUGGAGACGCCACCUGAUACUGCUGUGGCUAGAGUCCGGUAGGGGAGCGUGGAAUUCCUGGUGUAGCGGUGAAAUGCGCAGAUAUCAGGAGGAACACCAGCGGCGAAGGCGGCGCUCUGGGCCGGAACUGACGCUGAGGUGCGAAAGCGUGGGGAGCAAACAGG
rnacentral:rRNA from 1 species